CUCUGGGUCCGCAUGCGAUUCAGGGCAGAAAGAG
ncrna:Paenibacillus harenae DSM 16969 L31-Firmicutes ribosomal protein leader